AACGAACGCUGGCGGCGUGGAUUAGGCAUGCAAGUCGUACGCGAAAGAGGGAGUAAUCCCUCGAGUAGAGUGGCGAACGGGUGAGUAACGCGUGAGAAACCUGCCCUAAGCAGGGGGAUAACACUCCCAACGGGGUGCUAAUACCGCAUGAGACCACUGGAUCGCAUGAUCCUGAGGUCAAAGGUGGCCUCUGCUUGCAAGCUACCGGCUUAGGAUGGUCUCGCGUCCCAUUAGCUAGUUGGCGGGGUAAUGGCCCACCAAGGCGACGAUGGGUAGCUGGUCUGAGAGGAUGGUCAGCCACACUGGGACUGAGAUACGGCCCAGACUCCUACGGGAGGCAG
rnacentral:rRNA from 1 species